UUCUUUUCUUAAUCAAUUCAUAAACUGUAUUAGGAUAGUGCUUAGCUGUUAAUUGGUAGUACACCUGUUACAUUACAAAUUGAUUCAUUGUGUUUCAGACUCAAGUGCCUAGUUAUUAGACCUUCACACCCAAGUGCAUAGUUAAGGCCUGAGUGUCUCAUUAUCAGUUUUUACAUCUGAGUGUGUUGAUUAUGUUAGAAGGUCUGAGUGUCUCAUUAUUUAGUUAACAGAUAGUUAUAUCUGAGUAUUCACAGCACAGCAAAGUGUUCAUGAAGAGGUCUGAGUAUCUACAAGCUGUAAUGCUGUGAAUAGUGUUUAUAAAGAAGCUUGUGAGCUUAGAGCUAUAAUACUGUGAAUAGUAUUUGUGAAG
rnacentral:sRNA from 1 species